UUUUGAGCCACCAACCGAAAUUAACCUUAGCAUAAGUAUGGGAAUGUGUAGUGACAUGGUAUUAUCUGUGUUACUGCGUGGUGGUGAAAAUGGCUUAAACACCUAGCUAAUAAUACUUUCCCUGUUUCCCAGAAUGGAAAACCAACCUGGCAGAUCACAGGCCCAGGUAGGGUAUUGGCUAAUUUUUUCAAAUUUAUAUUUGUUCAUGGUGUUGUAAUUGUGGGAAAUAAGAGAUCAAAUAUGACUUGUUUUCCAGUAUUAUCCUGUAGUUUUGUACAGCUUGUGCUUUACCGGAAUCAAUUGUUAAUAACAUUUAUGCUAUGCUCUGUAUGAUCACAUUACAAUGUUACGCACCUUAACUCCCAUUCCAGUAUGACCAGUGUUCAGCAACUGAAGCUGCUCAGCAUUUCAUGUCCUUGCUCACCAGAGCAAUUCCUGAAGAUCGUAGACAGGGUCAGAGUAUGAGUGUGGAGAGACCUACUGUUUCGUUUGAGAUGGCCAGGUAGAAAAGCAUAAGGGCCAGUUCAGGUGUUACACAAUGUUGCUAAACAUUUCCAUAUGCCAUUGUGAUUCAAGGCACCUGCAAACAUGUUUCUUCCAAAAAUAACCAUACACAGUUUCUAGAUAUUCAUAUGAUUUGCAAAUUGAAUUAAUUCAUUACAUUGAAUUACCUAAUCAUCGCUGUUAGCACUAGUGCUAUCAUUAUGUCACAAAGUGGUAUUGUAAUGAUAUUGCUUCAGCAAUUCAAAUUCUGUUCUUAAUCUGAUUUCUGUUCUGACUGCAACUUAGUGACAUUAAGAUUGUUCUAAAAAUCAUAUAGAUCCUUCCCUGGAUUUUUCAAACGCAAUGGAAAAAACCGAAGUCAUCCCCUUAGAAGACCAGCAAAUGUUGUGAAGACGUGGAAGCCACUUGAAGUACCAUUUUUCUUGCUUGGUUCAAAAACGGACACAACCCCAUCCAUAUCUGCCGAGCUGGAGCUCAUGCAAGCAGGGCUGGGAAAGAGGGCGUUGUCUAUCACAUCUGACUUAACGCAUGCAGAGUUAUCCAGUUCACUAAGGACAACAUAUCCGAAGAUGAAUGAUCUUCAAGACAGAUGGCUUCUUUUCAAAGCAGCAGGCGGAAAUGGAAGGAGAAAACUGUCUGCAAUCGCAUUAGAGGCAGAGGGAUACACUGGUUCUGUCAUCAAAAGAGCCUCAGGUGGAGGAAAACAGCUGUUAUAUAUAUAGUGCCCCUCCAAGAUGAGUUAGAUUUAACACCACUACCAGCAGAUGCACCGGAAUUUGCUCAUAUGCCAACAGCAACAUGCAAACAAUGCAAGACAGUGAUGCCAUUGCAGAUGUUGGCUCUGCACAUUGACCACUGCAACAACACAUCAAACUCGGAAACUGAGGAGGCAGAUGUGGUGUUCCUGGAAGAAGCAACAUCUCCUAACCCAGUCCGAGGACCUUGUACAGACGCACCAUGGUCCAAUGAGCAACAUUGCUUUCAGCAGGUACAGCAACUGAGUCAAAAAACAAUGAGGAUGGCAUGGAGGGCAACAGCCAAAAAAUGUGUCAUAAACAUGACGGAUACAUUCUACGUUCUUUACAAAGUUGUCAGUCUUUGUUGCACUUCAAAAUUA